rnacentral:rRNA from 1 species
AACGAACGCUGGCGGCAGGCCUAACACAUGCAAGCCGAACGGGAUCUUCGGAUCUAGUGGCGGACGGGUGAGUAACGCGUGGGAACGUGCCCUUUGGUUCGGAAUAGCCCCGGGAAACUGGGAGUAUUCCCGGAUAAGCCCUACGGGGGAAAGUUUUAUCGCCGAAGGAUCGGCCCGCGUUGGAUGAGGUAGUUGGUGAGGUAAUGGCUCACCAAGCCGACGAUCCAUAGCUGGUUUGGGAGGAUGAUCAGCCACACUGGAACUGAGACACGGCCCAGACUCCUACGGGAGGCAGCAGUGGGGAAUCUUAGACAAUGGGGGAAACCCUGAUCUAGCCAUGCCGCGUGAUCGAUGAAGGCCUUAGGGUUGUAAAGAUCUUUCAGUGGGGAGGAUAAUGACUGUACCCACAGAAGAAGCCCCGGCUAACUCCGUGCCAGCAGCCGCCGUAA